rnacentral:lncRNA from 1 species
GUCCCAAAAAUGAAGGAAAAGAUCAAAAUAUAACAGAACACAGUAAAAUCAAAACUACAAAAACAAUUUAUCCUUUCACUAUGUCAUAUCUGAAAUUAACCUAACUAUCAUCACCAAAAAUACAAAUUCAAAUAUCACAAAACUUUCAACCUAAUUUGAAAUAACCGCAUCUACUAACAAAUCCACAUCAAGAUUAAAGAUAAAUCAACAUUUAGAACCUAACCUGAGUCGAUUCAUCACAAAACACAUGCGAAAAUCCUUCGUAAACCUCAGAUUUCGUCCUUCGAACAUCCGUCAAGCUCUUCCUAUCACUUUAAUAAACAUAUAUCAAAGACAAGAUGGUAAUUGAACAAGGUGUUGAAAAAACACUUAUAAUGCACAAUGUACAACUUUGUUUUAAGCACAAGAAACACAUAUGUAACCUCACAGGCUCAGCUUAUGCAUCAUAGCCUUAACAGUUUCAGUUC